GUCCCAGUGUCACAGGAUAUCCUGGGCUCGAAGGCACCCGUGAGGAUCAUCAUGUCCAACUUCCGGCCCUCCACGGGACGUGCCCAAGUGUCGCACCGUGUGCCUGAGAGCAUUGUCCAAAUGCUUCUUGAGCUCUGUCAGUGCUGUGCCCACUGCCGUGGGGACCCUGUUCCAGUGCCCAGCCACCCUCUGGGUGAGGAACCUUUUCCUGAUACCCAGCCUGAACCUCCCUCGACACAAUUUCAGGCCGUUCCCUCCGGUCCUGCCACUGGUCAUGAGAGAAAAGACAUCAGUGCCUGCCCCUCCUCUUCCCCUCAUGAGGAAGCUGUAACUGCAGUGAGGGCUCCCCUCGGUCUCCUCCAAGCUGAACAGACCAAACAACCUCAGCCGCUCCUCAUACAGCUUCCCUUCAAGACCCUUCACCAUCGUCAUCGCCCUCCUUAGGCCGCUCUCCAACAGCUUAAUGUCUUUCUUACACCACGGCACCCAAAACUGCACACAGGAUUCAAGGUGAGGCAGCACCAGCGCAGAGCAGAGCAGGAAGUUUUUUCCCUCCUGGUACCAGCAGAGUUAUCCCAGCAUGCUGAAGAAAGACAGCGGCAUGUAAAUGAUCUAAGGGACUUGAAGAAAGGAGGCACUACCAUGACAGUGCCUUUCUGUUUGGGAGGGAGAUGGUGGCUAGGGGAGCACUCCUGUGAAAGAGGGCCCAAAGGCCACAAAGUGAGGAAAACUCAGCUGGUGAAUCACUUACUGGGAGUGAAAGUGAAGAUUUAAGCUUAGCUUUCCCAGAAAGGGAACUCACGAGGACGUGUUGGAACAGGCUGUCCGAAGAUAGGAGGGCAUGUCAGACACUGCAAAUGUCGUGUGUCAGGAGAGAGAAAGAGCCUGCCCAUCCUGCUUUGAGAUGGUGGUAUUUGGCUUUGAAAAACCUAAGUCCUCUUUUUACAGCUGUCUCUGUCCCUGGGGAAGUUUUCCCCCUUUGCAGUUUAACCUUGUUAUCUACCUUCUAUCCACUGUGAGCACUAGAAAGACUUGGAAACGCUGGAGACACUGGCACAGAAGGCCCAGAGAAGCUGUGGAUGCUCCAUCCCUGGCAGUAUUCAAGGCCAGGUUUGCCAGGGCUCUGAGCAACCUGGUCUCAUGGAAGGUGUCCCUCUCCACUGCAGGGGGUUUGAACUAGAUGAUCUUUAAGGUCCUUUCCAAUCUGAACCACUCUAUGAUUCUAUGACAUUGAAAGCAUUUUAUUAUCUUCCUCUCUUCUUUACUUUAUCCUUUUACUGAGAUGUAGCCCUUUGAUUUGCCUCCUCUCAGAAAUACCUUCAGUUUGUUCAAUUCUGUCUCAGAGGUCUAUUUUCUAGACCUCUGGCUAUGUCCAUUGCUCUCUGAAUUCUCCCCAGUACAAGUUUACAUCCUCUUUGAAGCCUGGCUGUUCAAUAUUGAAGGUUAUACUCCAUCUGAGUCUGUACCAGAAGCAAGCAGAGGGUUUUUUCUGGUGCAAUAUGCAAGAAAUUGCUCACCUGGCUCACAAAAAAUUAUCUCAGUAUUAAAUCUCAGAUAUGAGAGUCUGCCUUUCUAAUUAUAGGCAGUCAUCUAGGUAACCAAGGAUGACAACACUUUUAUAUGUAUCUGAAGCAAUAAUGGCUAACACUGAACUAUUGACUAGGGUUAGUUGCAUUUAAAAUUUUUUACAUUUAAAAAUUGCUUUUGUUUUUACACUAGAAUUGUGUUUGUCUGCAGUAGGAGGGUGGAUAGAUCUUAUAUUGUUAGUCAACUUCCACUGAAAAUUCAGUUUUCUUUAUGACAACCUUACAUAGACCUACUAGAGGCUCCUCAAAUGCUAAUAAAAACGGAAAUGGGUGCAUCUCAACAGUAGUAAGAUCAGCCCCAUUUUCUGGGACUGUGUCACCCCCAUAUAUUGUAGAUCCAAGACCCUUUGGUUUUGUUCACUUGCAGAAAGAGUGGAUCUACACAGACAAACACCAUUGCUUUACAGUCUGCUUUGGAUCCUGCUCAUAAGAUCAUAGAACAGUUUGGGUUGAAAGGGACCUCAAAGACCAUCUAGUUCCAAACCCCCUGCCCUGGCAGCGACGCUUUCCACUAGACCAGGUUGCUCAGGGUUCCAUCCAACCUGGCCUCAAACACUUCUAGGCAUAAGGCAUCCACAAUUUCUCUGGAUGAUUUGUUCGAAUGUUUCACUAUCCUCAUUUGGAAACAUUUAUUGGAUUGAUAUCCAAUCUAAACCUACCCUCUUUAAAACCAUUGCACCUUGUCCUUUCAGUACAGGCCCUGAAUAAAAAGUGUCUCUUUCUUUCUUGUGAGCCCUCUUAAUGUACUGAAGGGCUGCAAAAAGAUCUCUCUGCGGCUUCUGUUUCUCCAGGCUGAACACACCCAAAUCUCUCAGCCUGUCUUCAUAGGAGAAGUGCUCCACGUGCUCCAGCCCUCUGACCAUUUUAGUUUCUUUCCUCUGGACCUUGUCUGAUGGGUUGGUGUCUGCCUUGUGCUGGGAACCCCGGGGCUGGAUGCAGUACUCCAGGAGGGAGCUCAAAUGUUCCCCUGGGAUUAACACUGAAUUAACAAUUAAUUAAAUUGUCCCUCUGCCACCACUCCCAGCUCAGGCUGUGUACUUAGAUCACCUGCACCACUACAUUAAAAAAAAAAAAAAAAAGCAGUGGAAUGGGUGUCUCUAACGGGAUGGCAUUUGCAGCAAAGCAGCGUCGCAGGGGUUCAGGUGGGCCUGUGCUCCACUUGCAAAGAGCCCAGCAGCAGGUGACAGGAGCAUGGCUGACCACCUCAGGACUCCUUACAGAGGGAAUCCAUGAGGAGUCAUCACUCAUAUUCCAAGCGUAAAUGACAAUAGCAAAAACCUCUGUAAAAGCCUGACAAUUGGGGUGGCUCAGCUGGCAACCCAGAGGGGAAGUCAGCUAGGCAGAGAUCUCUCCUGGCUUCCUCCAGGCAGCCUUUCCAUAGCUGUUUCCAUGGAAACUGAAUUUGAAGGGACAACAAGCAGGAGGAAGAGCUCAUUUUCAUUAAUUCCUCAUUUAAAAUCUCAACCUUGUGUUUGCCAGGAACACAUUUAGUGCCAUGGAGGAGGACCCAGGGGCCAGCUGUUGAACUGCAGAGCUGUGUGUUAGUCACCCAUUUUCUUCUUGCUUGCAUGGAAACAGAGGUGUCUGAGAAGAGAGAUGGCCAAAUUCAGGCUUGCACAGCCUUUCAUUCUUUAUUUUCCCCUUGUCCACUUAGGUGGAGAUGAAGAGUUGGCAGUGUCAUCAGCAGCCACACAGAAUUGCUCUUCAUCCAUUUUAGGAAUGGGCUAAUUGAUGCAGCCUGAUGGUGCUCGGUGAAAACCAGCACAGCAGAAGAUGCAAAAGGCCUGAUGCUGCCCUGUUGAAGCUGAUGGGAGUUUUGCAUUUAGGAAUCCAUGUGCUUUCCUCAAAGCCCAGCAAGGACUAGGGAAGAUGUGCUCCUGGGAGCUGGCGGUCCCACAAGAUAUCAGGGAUGGACACCAUCAGAGAGGUUUCCACGUGCUGGAGAAGCUGAGUGCUGCCCACAUCUGGAUGCUCCCUGUGUUCAGUGCUGUACACCAGAGCUGUGCUGGGCCUCCAUGGAGUCAAAAUAUUUGGGUCUGGAGCCAGAGCUGAGAUCUGCUGUGAGGCACAGAGGGAAUCUCCUGCAGAAGCUGGUUUUGAUUUGGGAGUAUUGAGCCAGGAGGACUAUUGCACCAACAGCUGAUGCUCUAACUUCACUCAUUCCUGCCUGCUGAUCUCCUCAUCAACAAAUUAAGGUAUUGUACCACCUCAGCACAAAAGGUCAGCAGCAUCUACCAUCACUCAUCUCCUGGACUUUCCGCUAAUGAGCUGGUGAAGAGCAAGGCAUUUUCUCUUCAGCUACCAAAAAAAAUGGUUUUCAAUGGAUUUAUUUCCCUUGUGUUAUAAUUUAGCAAACUUGAUUCUAUGCCACUGAUAUUUCCCCUUAUUUUGUAGGUAUAGGCAAUGCACAGUCACCAAGGUAUGUUAUUGAUGCAUAAAUUAUCUCCUAAUGAACUACGGUUUUGCAGAGGGAGCUUCCCAAUGAGACUAGGAGAAGGCUGUGUGACUAAACUGAGCAAAAACAAGAUUAUUGACAAAAAGAGCAGAUCUACAAUGCUCCUAAAGAAAAACAGGGCAAUUCUGUUAGAAAACUUCUCAGCCUGAAAGCAUAGGCAGGUGUAUAUAAUUUUGAGAUUGUGUGUACAUAUAAAUGCAACAGAGGCGUCUAUUUUGUGGGUGUCACUGCUUCAGAAGUGAUCACUCUGGGACUCUUCAAUGCCACAAGUGUCAGUGCUGUCAUUAAAGGAAAUGAACCACAUGCAUGUACAUCUAACCUCGUGUCCCGCCCUUGCACCUAGCUGCAGCUCAGCCACAGCAGGGCCUCACAACAAACUCUCACUGAGAUAAUUAACUGGAGACAUCAGAGGUGUCUGCUUCAUUACUGCUGUGUGCUGCUGCCUGCGGGUUCCCUCCAAAGUUUUUCCACCUAAUGGCCUUUGCUGAUAACUCACUUUUUUUCCUAUGUGCUGCUUGUUGGCAUUUCUCUAAAACAGCACUAAUGAUCUAAUAGAUAUGAUUAUGCAAGAGUGGUUUGUCUCCUUUCAGCAUAAGCUAACAAUGCUAUUACAGACCAGAGCAAAAUACAUUCUCUUUGCCACAAAGAACAAAUUUCCCACCAAAUUGAAAUAAAUAAACUGGAAUAAAUAGAAAGUGUUACAGACCUGCAAUUGAAUAAUAUUUUACUGGAUUUCUGUUGAUGGAUGAGGUUAAAUAAGGUCUGAAAUUUUGCCUUCUAGUUAAUUGUUAUGGCUUAAACAUGAAAAAAAAAAAGGAAUGGAAGUGACAUUUCAGUCAGUGUGAGAAAAAUAAACAGAAAAGGAACCAAGGAAAACAGAAAAUAAAAC